AGCAGCCGCGGUAAUUCCAGCUCCAAUAGCGUAUAUUAAAGUUGUUGCAGUUAAAAAGCUCGUAGUUGAAUUUCGGGGUUAGCAGAUCGGUCGUGCCACUGGUAUGUACUGGUCUUACUGAUUCCUCCUUCCUGAUGAACCGUAAUGCCAUUAAUUUGGUGUUGCGGGGAAACUGGACUGUUACUUUGAAAAAUUAGAGUGUUUAAAGCAGGCUAACGCUUGAAUACAUUAGCAUGGAAUAAUGAAAUAGGACGUUCGAUCCUAUUUUGUUGGUUUCUAGGAUUGACGUAAUGAUUAAUAGGGAUAGUUGGGGGCAUUAGUAUUCAAUUGUCAGAGGUGAAAUUCUUGGAUUUAUUGAAGACUAACUACUGCGAAAGCAUUUGCCAAGGAUGUUUUCAUUAAUCAAGAACGAAAGUUAGGGGAUCGAAGACGAUCAGAUACCGUCGUAGUCUUAACCAUAAACUAUGCCGACUAGGGAUCGGAUGAUGUUAAUUUUUAAUGUACUCAUUCGGCGCCUUAC
rnacentral:rRNA from 1 species